UACGUAGGUGGCAAGCGUUGUCCGGAUUUAUUGGGUUUAAAGGGUGCGUAGGCGGCUUAUUAAGUCAGUGGUGAAAUACUCUAGCUCAACUAGAGGGGUGCCAUUGAUACUGAUGAGCUUGAGUACAGAUGAGGUAGGCGGAAUUGACGGUGUAGCGGUGAAAUGCUUAGAUAUCCGGAGGAACACCGAAGGCGAAGGCAGUGUCCUGGGGAGUACCUGACGCUCAGGUGCGAAAGCUAGGGGAGCGAACGGG
rnacentral:rRNA from 1 species